GGGCUGCGGCGGUCAGAGCGUGGUGAGGACGCCGUGUGCGUGAUUGUAGGCGGUUAUUUGUCCGCCGGCAGCCGGUUGCUUCGCUCGGAAUCCUGUUCGUGGUUUUAGCAAAGCAGCGCGGCUCCACGCGCCGAUAAGCGACCUGCCGAGCACAGCUGGGGCUUCCCCUCUCCUCAGGUGUUUCUUAGUUCUGCUCCCAGCGACAGCCGCUGAGACAACGGGCCUCGAGGCGUUCAGCAGGCAGCAGGCUGGGCAGGGAGAGGGAAGGCUGAGGGAUUGCUGGCUGCAGGCAGCGUGCCGCCAGCCAAAAAGCGCAGGUGAGCGUGAAGCCAUCAGUGUUGGUCACGUCCUGAAAUGAGGCUCUCUAAAAACUCCAGAGCGCCGGUGGAGGUGGACGCCUGUCUUAAGAACCGCAUUGCUCGGCGUCGGGGCGCUCAGCAGCUCAUUCGGGACUCAGAAACUGAUGUAGAGGGGACUUAACCCUGCUCAAAUUAUCGUCAGUUGAGCCUUCCAGUCUGUGCGUGGGACACACAGCUGUGCAGCCCUUCACAGCAGGGAAGGUGAGCCUGCAAGGACUGAACCUCAGGAGACCACAGCUGCUGUGGCAGAGCCUGGUGUCACUGCUGGGAAGCAAGGUGUGACCGCUGAGCCUGGACAAGAAGCUGGUGUGUAUGCACAGGCUGUCAGAUUCACAGGAGUCUGUUUUAUUCUUCAAGGAAUGCAGAAGGUAGGGAACAUUUUUGAGAGCAAGCAAGCACUUUUUUUUUUGUCUGAUACAGAUGCUGGAAAAAUACUGCUGAGCUCCUUCUGCUUGUGCCAGUGUUAUUUAAAGCAACGUUGCAACAACGCAGCAGAAAAGAAAGAAAAUCCUUGUCUCCACUAAAUUCCAGAAAAAUUGUGUCUCCACUUCAUCAAAACCUGUGAAACAGAAACAUCCUCAGACGUUGCUUUCUGUGCAAGUUGUGCCCCAGGAAAGCAGGGCAGUGAGUAGGCACUGGGGGAAGCAGAGCCUGCAGUUGAGAUGAUGUAACAGCAGUAGGCGGAUGAAACUCAACCAAAUUGUCUCAGGCAAUAUCAACUGAUUUUUAAAUUUAUCAGCUCCUGUUUCUCCCUCAAAUGACAUUUAUGUGCUCUCCUUGCCUAACUGUGAGGAUUUGAGACAGCACAAAAGAUUAAAGAUGAGGGGAAAGUUAUUCAAAAGAAAGGCAAACAUACCUCAAGCAUAUUUGCUGCCUUUCCUAACCUCAUCUGCAAUCUAGCUCCAUGCACAUACUGGGGUUUGUACCAUUUUUGCCCUAGUGUCCACAGAAAUAACUUGGACCACUCAAAUCCUGCAGUCCCUGUUUCUACAUAGGGAGGGAGAUGCUGCUGGAUGGCAGCUCCCCCACUUCCAGCACGGUUAGCAGAAGGAUUCCUAAUUCCACAUGGCACACAAGUUGGGCCAUGCUGCACUUGCUGGUUUGUAAGGAAUGUGUGGCUGCCAGAGCAAGAACAGAACAGGAGUGACUUACUGUAACUGGCCUUCAGAACAGCUUCCAGCAGCUAUUUCGAAUUUCUGAAGACCUCUGAGCAGUGACAGUGAUAUUUCAGUAGACUGAUUUGGCUUCACAGGGUUUUUCUUUACCGUGUGGGUGAUGAAGCAUGGACAUGGGUACCCAGACAGGUGCUGGGGUCUCCAUGGAGACCUCCAAACACAAGGACACAGUGCCAGGCAGCGGCUCUGGUGGAGCAGCAGGUGCCAGAGGUAUCCAGAGGUGCCCUCAGCCCUAGUUCUGUGGCUGCACGGUGCUGUUGCACAGCCUUGCAGCUGUUCAAAGUCCAAAAGGCAGAUUCUGGGCUGGUACUGAUGCCAUGGAUGAUACAAAGCAGAGGCUUUAAGGUUUCAAAGUCCAUGGGAAUAAAUGUAGUACAUUUCACAAGUCAGGCUAAUUGGAAACAUUUUAAAAAGAGAACGUGGUGGAAAAGUGACAGUGCAGCAAAGUGCUGAGGUGGCUGAGCGAACCUCAAGAACACAGAAUUGUCUGUUUGGAAAGAAGCUGGAGCAGCCACUCAGAGCCAACACAGCUCACCCAGGGCAGGGCAGUGCCAGGCAGCAUCCCGCUUCCCUGAGGACAAAGGCGGUGGCAGAGCGUGAGCAAAGCCGACUGUAAAGUGGGUCAGGCACAGAGUGAGCAGCAGAGGCUCCUUCCCAGCAGCCCUAUUCCACAGCCUCCCUGUUUCCACAGAACGUACGCUGACAGCUACAAUAAGGAUGGGUUUUGACAGUCUUACAUUUAACCAGCAUGGUGGUGGUGGUGUCAAACCACCUGAGAAGGACAGGCAGCAGGAAAACAGGCUGAAGUCUUUCCAUCAAACAUGAUGGAAACUGGUUUAAAAAGUAGAGUCUUAUUUGACAAUUCAGCAUGUCGUAUUUAAAUGUAUAAUCCCAUCUUAGACUGCUCCUGUUUUGUUUUGUUUCUUAAGAGAACAGUUGCACUUAGGGGUGAUCUGAUGAGAAAUACAGAUACAGAAGUCAGUAAGAGGGCCAACUUACAAAUGUUUAGUUCCAUUUAUACCAUCUUACAGAAUGCUGCAUUUAUUUGCAGUGUUGAUGGUUCUCAUCAACAGCACCCAGCCCACAGCUUCCACCAGAGAUGCUCAGCUCAGGUUGUGCUCCUCCUCUUCCACCACCCAGUGAAGGUGGCACAAUGCAGGCAUUGGAAAAUCAGCAGAAAUGAGCUGAUGCCAAUUUGAGACACUGCAUACACCUACAUCUGUCUUUAGUUCGUGUUGCAAACCAAGACCAAGGCCCUGACAUCUUCACAGCAGUUUGACGAUGAGGUAAUGGGAUAAACUACUGUGGAUCUCAUGUGCUGCAGCUAAGCAAGAUGCUCUUUGAACACAAGAACGCAGGCUGGAAUGCACCUCAGUCUGAAGCAGCACCAACAGCAGCUCACGUGUUUUUCUGGUCCAGUCCUGUAACCUUCCAAGAAGAGAUGCUCUGGAGCCUCUCUAGUUCAUCUUUUCCAGUACCACAGUACCCUCCUUCUCUAAAAGUGAUGCUUUUAUGUUUUCUGUAUGUCAGCAAUAUAUAUGUAAGCAUUUAAAUACUAUUAGCAAUCUGUGCUUUAUGUACUAGAAGCUAUCAGUUUCAUUUUCAUCUAUAAGCAGUUGCUUACUGUACAGUAAUUGAGAUCAGGCUCAACUCAGCUUAAGGACUAAUGCUUUUAAGCUACAGCACGGGUUUUAAAAGGCUAAAACAUGUUGCACUGCUUAAUUUAAAACCUGAAGUGUUGUCUCAGCCUUUCUUUUCCUGGAUAUAUGCCCAAGAACUUGAGUCCCUUGCUCAAGAGAACACUUUGUCUUCGUUCUCAUCCAGAAGGAGCACAGCCAAAUGAAUGAGAGCACCAAAACUUCAAAAAACCACAGUGAGCUGACUCAGCUGCUUACUCUGCAGGGCUUUCUUAGUGUGCUCACGUGCCCUGUAUGAAGUCCAAUGUAAUUUUUACUUAAUGCUUAACCUGUUUCCAAACUACCCUGCCUGGAACAUGCAGAGAACUGAUACAGAGCAGGCAUCCCUGUACAACCACAGCUAAGCAGGCUGUACAUCUGGGCAAGACACUGCAACAACCUAGAGAGAACAGCAAUGCAGAAGUUGUACAGACCAGAAAUAAAUGAAACAAAUCCUACGUUACCACAAAUUCUCAGCAUACAGGUAAAGCAAGAAGCAAUUAAAAAGCCUAUGGCUGGUGUACAAGGAGGUAAGUGGGGCCACACCUUCAGUUAACCGAAGGUAGCGUCGCUCCAUUUGAAAUGCAGAGUGGUCAUUUGAUAACACUUGCCUCUUCCAGACCAGCCUAUUUUUCCAGAACAAGCAGGUGCACCUUCAGCCCUGUCCUGUUCAUCAUCACAGCUUCUCCUACUGCAGGAACUUGUGGUGUUACUAGUAAGGAAACAAAGGGGUAAGAAGGGAGGAGCACAGGGAUGUAUUUAUUAAACUAUGAAGAUAAAAUAAACUGGGCACUUCCAUACCUUAUUUUUGUGUCGUCCAUGAAAAAAUGGACAGCUGGCCUUUAGAAAUUCAGACUGAAUUUUCAAAUCGCCAGAGGAAAGACUUUGCCCCAGGCCCUCACCAUACAGCCCUUAUCAACGUGACUUUCAGCAAGUGUGAAAAAAAUUCCAGGCUGACCUUUGAUCCUAACCAGGGUGGUGUGGGCAGAUGAAACGUCAAAGCUUUCAUCAGCAGUGUGUACAGCUCCUCUUCUCCAAGGCAGGAGUACCAUCCAAGCAGACAGAAAAGAUACCCAGUUCUUUCCAUCUUCACAGUGUGCAUCAAGAAACCUUACAGGUAUCGUCAGAUCUAAAGCAGCAGAGCAGUGAUAUUGAGCUUGUGUGCAAAAACGUGGGCAACUGGAAACUACCCGGCUUCAGCCUGAGCCUAGCAGCACAAGCAUCCAUUCACCUUGGAGAAAACAGCACCCACACACAGGAGCCCACAUCAGCCACGGCAGCAGGGCUGUGGGAUGCAGGGGCAGGCAGAGAAAGGCUACGAGAAUGAAGGAAAGAAAACCUGCAAAUCUGUUUGUUCCAAACGCUUCCAUCUUCUCCUUUCAGAAAGGAAAUUACCAGAGGCUUUCCUGGGUUCUGCUGUAUGCACCAAUACUUCGAUUCUGGCUUAAUGAUUCCUUAGUUCAAAGAACAGGCCUCUACAAAGGAGAGGCAUUUACUUCAAUCUGAUACACAAAUUCAAGUAAAAGCAUGACUGAAUGAUGAAGAUACAGGACUUUGAGCUACUCCUGCAUCACCUUUCCAAGGAACCUACCAGCCUCUGCAGAGCAGAAAGAAAGGUCAGUACUGGUGUGUGAAACAAACCGAAAUCCUAAUUACAUGCCAGCAGCAUCACAGUUUGAAGUGAAGCUUGGGUGAACGUCUAGUCAGCCAGCUGCUGAAAAAUUGGACAGUCAUUAUUUCUACUUGAAGUUUUCUCUUGAAUCUCACCUUCUAGCUGGCUGGCAAACAGCAAUACUAAUCCCAGAGCAGUAAUUCUUGUUCACAAUGGGCUAUUCUUAAAAACAAAAGCCUACGAAUGGCCAGUCACAGCAUAAUUAUGGGGAAAAGUGCAAAACCUGGAGUGCCUGUCAACAUACCGACUUUACUAACAACUGCCUGUAUGUGCAUGCAGAAACAGAACAAAUGAACUGCUUCCCACUGCAGCAGUGCCAAAGGCGUGGAAUGGUGUCAGUGAAGGCAGGAGUUCUAUCUGCCAAAGCCCAAAUACAGAGAAUGGCAAGCAAGAGGAAAGGAGACUUAAUGAACUCUCUCUAAAGCAAAGGAACUUUUUUUUGUUAGUGAUCAAAGCAAAAGCUCCCACCAUGCUAUAAAGAAAACAAUAACAGAAGGAACUCCUCCACGUGAGCUUCUCCCUGUAAGGGGUCGAGAUUCAGAAGGACUGAGCUUUCCAGCCAAGUUUGAAGGCAGGAUUUUUGCUAAAGAAAGAAGUAACCUCUCCAGCCUUUCAGAAAAGGUGUGAAUGAAUGAAUUUGAAAGGAAGCACCUUGCAAGCUUGACAGUUAAGCAGCCCUUCAAGAGAAAACCUCAGAAAAGCAAGGGAGUCCAAAACUGUGUGAAAGCAGGCCUGCACAUCUACAACACUUGUAUGUUUUCUCUCACAAGCCAGCAGUAUUAAAAAACCCCUCUGUUUGGUCACACAAUCUUUAUACUGAGCCCAAAACCCAGAGUCUGUUAAACAGUAUGAAAGCAAGGGCCUUCCAUCAGAACAGCCAGCUGAGUUCUUUUAAGAUGUGUCCAAUAAGAAGCUGCAAGUGUGAGCCUUCAUAAUGCAAAACAUCUGAAUGUGUUCUGAACAAAAUCAUCAUCAGAUUCAGAUUAGUAGAAAGGAAAGUUUUUAAACAGAAGUUAACACAGAUCACACUUAUUUUUGUAAUGGAAGCUUGGGCAAUACACAUAGUACUGAAUUUCAAGUUAUUCCUUUAAUAUUUAGAAAACUGGUUUUAUUCUCAGUCUUUCAGAUUUCUUUCUGAAGUAUUAGCACCUACAAUGGAAAUAACUCAAACUUGGAUUUACACUUGAAAAAAAGCCAUGCUUGAUCAGUUAAUUUAUCCUGCAUUUUUCUACUUUUGAAUAUUUCAUAGAGCACCAAGAGGGAAAAAAAGAGAGCAACAUUUCAGUAAUAAGUGAGCUCUGUUCUCAGCUACAUGAGAUCACAGGACCAGACAUCUCCCUGCAACAGAAUUCAGGUCACAGUUUUCCAGCACACUUCAAUCACCUCAUUUUUAUCAUUAUUUACGGUAGAAACUUCUAUCCAGGUUUAUAAAACCUAUCCAGCCGUGCAUUAGUUUAUUAAACCAGAGCUGACCUGAGAUGCAAUUAGAAUUUGACAUUUUUCCAUACUUAGUUCACAAGUUUAUUAUGAAAAACACUGCAGCUCUGUCCUGCAGUAACAUUGUUUUACAGAAAAAAACAGUUCUGUUCAAAGUAAUUCACUAUGCUCAGACAUUACAAGGGACAAAUAUGGUUGGGCAAAGAGUGGAAAAGGGAACUGAGUGCAGACAAAAAAAAAAAAAUCAAUACAAUUAAAUUAAACAGUAUUCCCUGAAAAUAAAACAAACAAACAGUUUCAGAACAAAUAUGAAGCCUUGGUACUUAUUUUAAAAAUGUUCUUUAAGCUUCAAUGAUUGUUUGCUGCUAUCCUUAUCUACAGUCAUGCCGAAUAAAGCUAUAGCUAAAUGGAAAGUUAAAUGUAUUCACGAGGUGUUAAUGUCUACAUCUUAUUAUUUGCAGUCUCUCAGAGAAAGCAAAAGUAACUACAAAUAGCGCUAUGCCAGAAACUGGUUUCUCGACCAACAAUGUUGCUUCAGCAUGCAAUGGACUGGUUCAUUCUAAAGUGGUCACAGUUGUUGACGACAAGAGGCUCUGUAUUUGAAUAUGGCACGUCUUUUGGUCCAUGUGAAAACAAGUUUGAAUGUUACAUAUUUUCUGACACUUUGGAGUUACUGUUGCUCUUCCCGUUUUCUUUAGGUCAACAUAUGGUUCAUGGCAAUACUGUACAGCUCUGUACUCUUUACAGGAAGUAGUCCGGGGUGCGACGAGUCACGUGCGGCUCACCUCUGCGCGGCGCUGGGUCGAACUGCAAACUGAAAAGCAUCUGCAUUAAUGCCAGCAUUCCAGUCACACGCAGGUAUUUCUUCCAAUUGCUUUAAACUCAUCUUUGCAUUACUUUAUGCACUUGAAAGAAACAGCUCUUGGCUUUAGGGCUCAAACCGGUCAGAUACCAGGUACGCAGCUGGACAUUAAAAGUCUCCUGUAAUUACUGAAAUGUA